UGAAACCCAUCCGAUAAAAUGGACGGGUCAAUAUACUCUGUGUUCCUGUGUUCACCUUGCAUUGUUAUUUGCCCUACUUUGGAAAAGUCAGUUCUUUCCUAUUCUCUGUUUUGAAAGUCUGAACUUUUUUUUUCAAAUCUUCAGCAUUUUUGUCAGCUGAUAUCGAUUUUUUUUUUUGCAGUACGAAGAAAGAGAGCGUAAACGAGAAGCAGAGGAAAGAAGAAGAUUUCCACUAGAGGAGAGAUUGAAACAACGGAUUGUAGGUCAGGAAGGCCCAAUUAAAAUCAUUGCCUCUGCGGUUCGUAGGAAGGAAAAUGGUUGGUUUGAUGACGAACACCCUUUAGUUUUCUUAUUUUUAGGAUCGUCAGGCAUUGGAAAGACUGAACUCGCAAAGCAGCUUGCUUACUACAUUCACAAAAAUAAACCAGAGGCGUUUAUCCGUCUUGACAUGUCUGAAUACCAGGAAAA